rnacentral:rRNA from 1 species
UGGUGCUUGCACCAAGACUUAGCGGCGGACGGGUGAGUAAUGCUUAGGAAUCUGCCUAUUAGUGGGGGACAACGUUUCGAAAGGAACGCUAAUACCGCAUACGUCCUACGGGAGAAAGCAGGGGAUCUUCGGACCUUGCGCUAAUAAAUGAGCCUAAGUCGGAUUAGCUAGUUGGGGGGGUAAAGGCCUACCAAGGCGACAAUCUGUAGCGGGUCUGAAAGGAUGAUCCGCCACACUGGGACUGAAACACGGCCCAAACUCCUACGGGAGGCAGCAGUGGGGAAUAUUGGACAAUGGGCGGAAGCCUGAUCCAGCCAUGCCGCGUGUGUGAAGAGGGCCUUUUGGUUGUAAAGCACUUUAAGCGAGGAGGAGGAGCUUCAGGUUAAUACCCUGGAUGCUUGGACGUUACUCGCAAAAUAAGCACCGGCUAACUCUGUG